UACGGAGGGGGCCAGCGUUGUUCGGAAUCAUUGGGCGUAAAGGGCGCGUAGGCGGCCAAUCAAGUCCGACGUGAAAUUCCCCGGCUCAACCGGGGGCCUGCGUCGGAUACUGCUUGGCUUGAGUCCCGGAGAGGGUAGUGGAAUUCCCAGUGUAGCGGUGAAAUGCGUAGAUACUGGGAGGAACACCGGUGGCGAAGGCGGCGACCUGGGUAGAUACUGACGCUGAGGCGCGAAAGCGUGGGGAGCAAACAGG
rnacentral:rRNA from 1 species